rnacentral:sRNA from 1 species
AACUAAGCGGAAUGGGCAAAUAGGGUAAGGGGGUAAGGGGGGGGAUGCCGGAUAAUGCCGCGCAUUUUGCGCUUUAGCUUUUCUGACAACUUUUUCAUGUGCUUUCUCCAUUGCUGUUGUUGUGGCAGUUUUUCUGCUAAACUUUUAUUGCAAUACGUUUUGCAAUAUUGUUGCCGUUCGAUUUUCGUUCAAUCAUUUUUGCGCGUGCUGGUGUGAAAUGCGAUCGGGCGGAGUGGGAAGGGGGACGGCAGACGGAGAGAGAGAGAGAGAGAGGGAAUACCUACUGCGUAAAUAGCGGCAACAAGUGUUGACGCCUGCAGCUCUCCGCAGCGUCGCUUGCCAAGAAUUUGCUGUGCUUUCAAAACAAAACAAAAACCCAACAGCGACGGCGGCGGCGCCUUGGCCUACGUAACGGGUUAACACUUACCCUCGUCCACUAUUUAACAGGUUACACGUGCAGUAACAUUGUACAAAUCGCAAGCUGAUAAGAAUGCUGCCGCUGCCGCUGCCGCUACCUCUGCCGCUACCGCUGCCAAUGGCAGGUGUGCAUACGGAACCGAGCUAUGCUUUUCGGUCGCACGCUGAUAAGGCGGCCACUGGAACUGUAAAUUGCAUUUUGCGCAUCAGCCUUGGCCAGGCAACAUUGUUGCUAUCGUCCCACACGGCGAAGUCUUCCGUUAAGAAGGACAUUCCCGAUGGCUUUCUUCGAAAUAGGAACAAAAAUCCCACAUUUAAGCAAUGAAAUAUCUCUGAUAGAGCACCAACUUCAGGAAUAAAUGAUUUAAAACUGU